rnacentral:lncRNA from 1 species
UAAGCACCUAGUCCAUACCAUGAAGUGUGCUAGGCACUGGGAGGACUUGAGGUGCCAAGGAAAGGGGAAAUCGGAGGCUUGAAUUGGCAGUCAUAGUUAAGGCUCCAGGGGCGGAGACCUAACUGCGCCUUGUGUGUAGUGCUAAGGGGGCUCCCUGAGGAUGCCAUCAACCUUAAAGGUGGAUGGCACGAGCUGGCUGGCUGAAAUACAGUUUGUGUACCAGGAGUUGGGAGGCAAGGGUGGGAGGCGUGUGUCUUCAGACAGGGAACAACAUGUGCAGAGACUUCAGGUGAGAGAGAGCAUGGCUCCCCAGGAAUGAAUGCAUUUGCCAUAGCUGGGAGAGUAUCAUCUGGAGGUUAGGGAAAGAUGAGGCUGCAUAAGUAAAGACCAAAUCUUCCUGGCUCUUGGAUCACCACAAUCAAGUCCUCUGUGAAGUUGCAGCUGCUCUGCAGCCAGGUACUAAAGAGCUGCUGGGACAGGGGAAUGAUUAUGAGAAGAUCCUGAAGCUCACGGCUGACACCAAGUUUGGUCCAUCAGAUUCAGGCGAUGUGAAGGCCACAGUGGCAGUGCUGAGUUUCAUCCUCUCCAGUGCAGCCAAGCACAGUGUCGAUGGCGGAUCCUUGUCCAGUGAACUGCAGCAGCUGGGGCUGUCCCAAGGAAACAAAGUGCACCAGUGUGUGGAUACCAGCUUCUCCUGGUGUGUGGACCUGAC